UGGGAAUCUACCCAAUUCUACGGAACAACUGAGGGAAACUUCAGCUAAUACCGUAUACGCCCUACGGGGGAAAGAUUUAUCGGAAUUGGAUGAGCCCGCGUUGGAUUAGCUAGUUGGUGGGGUAAUGGCCUACCAAGGCGACGAUCCAUAGCUGGUCUGAGAGGAUGAUCAGCCACACUGGGACUGAGACACGGCCCAGACUCCUACGGAAGGCAG
rnacentral:rRNA from 1 species